rnacentral:rRNA from 1 species
UACGAAGGGGGCUAGCGUUGUUCGGAAUUACUGGGCGUAAAGCGCGCGCAGGCGGUUCUUCAAGUCAGAGGUGAAAGCCCAGAGCUCAACUCUGGAAUGGCCUUUGAGACUAGAGAACUUGGGUACGGGAGAGGUGAGUGGAAUUCCGAGUGUAGAGGUGAAAAUUCGUAGAUAUUCGGAAGAACACCAGUGGCGAAGGCGGCUCACUGGCCCGUUACCGACGCUCAGGCGCGACAGCGUGGGGAGCAAACAGG